ACGUGUUACAAUGGGGGGUACAGAGGGCCGCUACCACGCGAGUGGAUGCCAAUCCCUAAAACCCCUCUCAGUUCGGACUGGAGUCUGCAACCCGACUCCACGAAGCUGGAUUCGCUAGUAAUCGCGCAUCAGCCACGGCGCGGUGAAUACGUUCCCGGGCCUUGUACACACCGCCCGUCAAGCCAUGGGAGCCGGGGGCGCCUGAAGUCCGGGACCGCGAGGACCGGCCUAGGGCGAAACUGGUAACUGGGGCUAAGUCGUAACAAGGUAGC
rnacentral:rRNA from 1 species